rnacentral:rRNA from 1 species
GGGGAAUUUGCGGCGUGCUAUACAUGCAAGUCGAACGAACUCUGGUAUUGAUUGGUGCUUGCAUCAUGAUUUACAUUUGAGUGAGUGGCGAACUGGUGAGUAACACGUGGGAAACCUGCCCAGAAGCGGGGGAUAACACCUGGAAACAGAUGCUAAUACCGCAUAACAACUUGGACCGCAUGGUCCGAGUUUGAAAGAUGGCUUCGGCUAUCACUUUUGGAUGGUCCCGCGGCGUAUUAGCUAGAUGGUGGGGUAACGGCUCACCAUGGCAAUGAUACGUAGCCGACCUGAGAGGGUAAUCGGCCACAUUGGGACUGAGACACGGCCCAAACUCCUACGGGAGGCAGCAGUAGGGAAUCUUCCACAAUGGACGAAAGUCUGAUGGAGCAACGCCGCGUGAGUGAAGAAGGGUUUCGGCUCGUAAAACUCUGUUGUUAAAGAAGAACAUAUCUGAGAGUAACUGUUCAGGUAUUGACGGUAUUUAACCAGAAAGCCACGGCUAACUACGUGCCAGCAGCCGCGGUAAUACGUAGGUGGCAAGCGUUGUCCGGAUUUAUUGGGCGUAAAGCGAGCGCAGGCGGUUUUUUAAGUCUGAUGUGAAAGCCUUCGGCUCAACCGAAGAAGUGCAUCGGAAACUGGGAAACUUGAGUGCAGAAGAGGACAGUGGAACUCCAUGUGUAGCGGUGAAAUGCGUAGAUAUAUGGAAGAACACCAGUGGCGAAGGCGGCUGUCUGGUCUGUAACUGACGCUGAGGCUCGAAAGUAUGGGUAGCAAACAGGAUUAGAUACCCUGGUAGUCCAUACCGUAAACGAUGAAUGCUAAGUGUUGGAGGGUUUCCGCCCUUCAGUGCUGCAGCUAACGCAUUAAGCAUUCCGCCUGGGGAGUACGGCCGCAAGGCUGAAACUCAAAGGAAUUGACGGGGGCCCGCACAAGCGGUGGAGCAUGUGGUUUAAUUCGAAGCUACGCGAAGAACCUUACCAGGUCUUGACAUACUAUGCAAAUCUAAGAGAUUAGACGUUCCCUUCGGGGACAUGGAUACAGGUGGUGCAUGAUGUCGUCAGCUCGUGUCGUGAGAUGUUGGGUAAGUCCCGCACGAGCGCACCCUUAUUAUCAGUUGCCAGCAUAAGUUGGGCACUUCUGUG